rnacentral:rRNA from 1 species
UACGUAGGGGGCAAGCGUUGUCCGGAAUCAUUGGGCGUAAAGAGCGCGUAGGCGGCCCAGUAAGUCCGCUCUGAAAGUCAGAGGCUCAACCUCUGAAUGCGGGUGGAUACUGCUGGGCUAGAGUCCGGAAGAGGCGAGUGGAAUUCCUGGUGUAGCGGUGAAAUGCGCAGAUAUCAGGAAGAACACCCGUGGCGAAGGCGGCUCUCUGGGACGGUACUGACGCUGAGACGCGAAAGCGUGGGGAGCGAACAGG